rnacentral:rRNA from 1 species
UACCAAAGGCCGGGCAACCGGUCACUGAAGGAUGGGCCUGCGUCUGAUUAGCUGGUUGGUGGGGUAACGGCCCACCAAGGCGACGAUCAGUAGCCGGUCUGAGAGGAUGAACGGCCACAUUGGGACUGAGACACGGCCCAAACUCCUACGGGAGGCAGCAGUGGGGAAUCUUCCGCAAUGGGCGCAAGCCUGACGGAGCAACGCCGCGUGAGUGAAGAAGGUUUUCGGAUCGUAAAGCUCUGUUGAGAGGGACGAGAGGCAAGGCUAGGAAAUGAGCUUUGUAGGACGGUACCUUUCGAGGAAGCCACGGCUAACUACGUGCCAGCAGCCGCGGUAAUACGUAGGUGGCGAGCGUUGUCCGGAAUUAUUGGGCGUAAAGGGAGCGCAGGUGGGAAAGUAAGUCAGUCUUAAAAGUGCGGGGCUCAACCCCGUGAGGGGAUUGAAACUACUUUUCUUGAGUGCAGGAGAGGAAAGCGGAAUUCCUAGUGUAGCGGUGAAAUGCGUAGAUAUUAGGAGGAACACCAGUGGCGAAGGCGGCUUUCUGGACUGUAACUGACACUGAGGCUCGAAAGCCAGGGGAGCAAACGGGAUUAGAUACCCCGGUAGUCCUGGCCGUAAACGAUGGAUACUAGGUGUAGGAGGUAUCGACCCCUUCUGUGCCGGAGUUAACGCAAUAAGUAUCCCGCCUGGGGAGUACGGUCGCAAGACUGAAACUCAAAGGAAUUGACGGGGGCCCCCCACAAGCGGUGGAAGUAUGUGGUUUAAUUCGAC